CGACCUCAGAGCAGGCGAGACUACCCGCUGAAUUUAAGCAUAUUACUAAGCGGAGGAAAAGAAACUAACAAGGAUUCCCCCAGUAGCGGCGAGCGAACAGGGAAGAGUCCAGCACCGAACCCCGCAGGCUGCCGCCUGUCGUGGCAUGUGGUGUUUGGGAGGGUCCACUACCCCGACGCCUCGCGCCGAGCCCAAGUCCAACUUGAAUGAGGCCACGGCCCGUAGAGGGUGCCAGGCCCGUAGCGGCCGGUGCGAGCGUCGGCGGGACCUCUCCUUCGAGUCGGGUUGCUUGAGAGUGCAGCUCCAAGUGGGUGGUAAACUCCAUCUGAGACUAAAUAUGACCACGAGACCGAUAGCGAACAAGUACCGUGAGGGAAAGUUGAAAAGAACUUUGAAGAGAGAGUUCAAAAGUACGUGAAACCGUUCUGGGGUAAACGUGAGAAGUCCGAAAGGUCGAACGGGUGAGAUUCACGCCCAUCCGGCCACUGGCCUCCGCCCUCGGCAGAUGGGGCCGGCCGCCCGCGCGGAGCAAUCCGCGGCGGGGUCGUGUCCGGUUGCCUUUCCACUCGCCGCGGGGUGGGGCCGUUCCGGUGUGCGGUGGGCCGCACUUCUCCCCUAGUAGGACGUCGCCACCCGCUGGGUGCCGGCCUACGGCCCGGGUGCGCAGCCUGUCCUUCCGCGGGCCUCGGUUCGCGUCUGUUGGGCAGAGCCCCGGUGUCCUGGCUGGCUGCCCGGCGGUAUAUCUGGAGGAGUCGAUUCGCCCCUUUGGGCGCUCGGGCUCCCGGCAAGCGCGCGCGGUUCUUCCCGGAUGACGGACCUACCUGGCCCGGCCCCGGACCCGCGCCGCUGUUGGCUCGGGAUGCUCUCGGGCGGAAUAAUCGCUCCCGUCAGCGGCGCUUCAGCUUUGGACAAUUUCACGACCCGUCUUGAAACACGGACCAAGGAGUCUAACAUGUGCGCGAGUCAUUGGGCUGUACGAAACCUAAAGGCGUAAUGAAAGUGAAGGUCUCGCCUUGCGCGGGCCGAGGGAGGAUGGGGCUUCCCCGCCCUUCACGGGGCGGCGGCCUCCGCACUCCCGGGGCGUCUCGUCCUCAUUGCGAGGUGAGGCGCACCUAGAGCGUACACGUUGGGACCCGAAAGAUGGUGAACUAUGCCUGGCCAGGACGAAGUCAGGGGAAACCCUGAUGGAGGUCCGUAGCGAUUCUGACGUGCAAAUCGAUCGUCGGAGCUGGGUAUAGGGGCGAAAGACUAAUCGAACCAUCUAGUAGCUGGUUCCCUCCAAAGUUUCCCUCAGGAUAGCUGGUGCUCGUACGAGUCUCAUCCGGUAAAGCGAAUGAUUAGAGGCCUUGGGGCCGAAACGACCUCAACCUAUUCUCAAACUUUAAAUGGGUGAGAUCUCCGGCUUGCUUGAUAUGCUGAAGCCGCGAGCAAACGACUCGGAUCGGAGUGCCAAGUGGGCCACUUUUGGUAAGCAGAACUGGCGCUGUGGGAUGAACCAAACGCCGAGUUAAGGCGCCCGAAUCGACGCUCAUGGGAAACCAUGAAAGGCGUUGGUUGCUUAAGACAGCAGGACGGUGGCCAUGGAAGUCGGAAUCCGCUAAGGAGUGUGUAACAACUCACCUGCCGAAGCAACUAGCCCUGAAAAUGGAUGGCGCUGAAGCGUCGUGCCUAUACUCGGCCGUCAGUCUGGCAGUCAUGGCCGGUCCUUGCGGCCGGCCGCGAAGCCCUGACGAGUAGGAGGGUCGCGGCGGUGGGCGCAGAAGGGUCUGGGCGUGAGCCUGCCUGGAGCCGCCGUCGGUGCAGAUCUUGGUGGUAGUAGCAAAUACUCCAGCGAGGCCCUGGAGGGCUGACGCGGAGAAGGGUUUCGUGUGAACAGCCGUUGCACACGAGUCAGUCGAUCCUAAGCCCUAGGAGAAAUCCGAUGUUGAUGGGGGCCGUCAUAGCAUGAUGCGCUUUGUGCUGGCCCCCGUUGGGCGAAAGGGAAUCCGGUUCCUAUUCCGGAACCCGGCAGCGGAACCGAUACAAGUCGGGCCCCUCUUUUAGAGAUGCUCGUCGGGGUAACCCAAAAGGACCCGGAGACGCCGUCGGGAGAUCGGGGAAGAGUUUUCUUUUCUGCAUGAGCGUUCGAGUUCCCUGGAAUCCUCUAGCAGGGAGAUAGGGUUUGGAACGCGAAGAGCACCGCAGUUGCGGCGGUGUCCCGAUCUUCCCCUCGGACCUUGAAAAUCCGGGAGAGGGCCACGUGGAGGUGUCGCGCCGGUUCGUACCCAUAUCCGCAGCAGGUCUCCAAGGUGAAGAGCCUCUAGUCGAUAGAAUAAUGUAGGUAAGGGAAGUCGGCAAAUUGGAUCCGUAACUUCGGGAUAAGGAUUGGCUCUGAGGAUCGGGGCGUGUCGGGCUUGGUCGGGAAGUGGGUCAGCGCUAACGUGCCGGGCCUGGGCGAGGUGAGUGCCGUAGGGGUGCCGGUAAGUGCGGGCGUUUAGCGCGGGCGUGGUCUGCUCUCGCCGUUGGUCGGCCUCGUGCUGGCCGGCGGUGCAGGAUGCGCGCGCCUGCGCGGCGUUCGCGCCCCGGUGCUUCAACCUGCGUGCAGGAUCCGAGCUCGGUCCCGUGCCUUGGCCUCCCACGGAUCUUCCUUGCUGCGAGGCCGCGUCCGCCUUAGCGUGCUCCUCCGGGGGCGCGCGGGUGCGCGGAUUCUCUUCGGCCGCCAUUCAACGAUCAACUCAGAACUGGCACGGACUGGGGGAAUCCGACUGUCUAAUUAAAACAAAGCAUUGCGAUGGCCCUAGCGGGUGUUGACGCAAUGUGAUUUCUGCCCAGUGCUCUGAAUGUCAACGUGAAGAAAUUCAAGCAAGCGCGGGUAAACGGCGGGAGUAACUAUGACUCUCAUCCAAGCGGCCGCCUGCCGCCCCGCCGCUGCAGAAGCGCAAGCGGCGCCGCUGGGAAUACGCGCGCACACAGGACGCCUUCCGUAGGUCGCGUGCACGUUGCGUGCGCGGCUUGCUGGACGGCACCCUGCUGCAGCCGCCACCCGACAUCCCCGGUCUGCUGGACUUCUGGGCGGACCUCUUCACGAAGAAGCCGAUCUCCACCGCCGGCUUCAUCCGUGACCGCCUUCUCCCGCACUCGGAGCCUGUCGCUCCUGAGUGCCUAUGGGGGCCGGUCACACGUGAGGAGGUCGCUGCUGCCUUGCCGCCCAGGGGAUCGGCAGCCGGGCCGGACGGCCUGACUCCAGCGGAGCUGCGGCGCCUGCCGCAUGAAGUCCUGGUGAAACUCUUGAACCUCUUCCUCCUGGCCCGCGCCCUCCCCGAGCGUCUGCUUCGCGCCCGGACGUCACUUCUCCCCAAAACGGCUGCACCAACAUCCCCCGCUGACUUUCGCCCCAUUACGGUCUGCUCGGUGUUGGCGCGGACCUUUCACAAGGUUCUCGCGUCACGCCUGAUGCGUGCAUGUGCUGUGGACGAACGUCAGCGGGCAUUCAUCCCCCGGGAUGGGAUGUUGGAAAACACCUUCAUCUUGGACACUGCUCUCACCGACGCAGUCGGCUCCUGUCGCUCUGUUUUUGUGGCAUCGAUCGACGUCUCUAAAGCGUUCGAUUCGGUGGACCAUGCUGCUCUCCGCCCCGUGCUGAGGGCUCAUGGCCUGCCGGAUUGCUUUAUUGAGUACGUCGAAAGGUGUUACGAGGGUAGCACGACAGUGAUAGCGGGCGGCGCCGACGUGGGCGUGCCCCUGCAGCCGGCUAGGGGUGUGCGUCAGGGUGACCCCCUCUCCCCCCUCCUUUUCAAUUUUGCGGUGGACUAUGUUUUGAGUCAACUUCCCUCCCACAUCGGAGCUCGGAUCCUUGGUCGCAGAGUUAACGCUGCGGCCUUCGCAGAUGACGUCCUGCUUUUUGCAUCGACCGCGAGGGGAUUGCAGUCCCUCAUCGACGCAGCCGUCGCAGCCCUCGCCCAUCUGGGGCUGCAGAUCAACGCCCGGAAGUGUUUCACCCUCGCCUUAGUCGCGUCUGGGCGCGACAAGAAGGUGAAGGUCGACGCCGACGUUACCUUCAAAGCGGGCAACGCCACCGUGCCCGCCCUACGUGUGGGUGAAACCUUCCGGUACCUGGGACUGCAAUUCUCCACCGCGGGUCGCUGCCUUUUCAACCCACGACGCCACCUGGUGGAGCAGCUGGACGUCAUCUCCCGAGCUCCGCUCAAGCCGCAACAGCGCCUCCACGCCCUCACCACCGUACUUCUGCCUGGCCUGUACCAUGGGCUGGCCCUCAGCCGCACCCGAGUGGGUGCGUUGAAAGCGGCAGAUGUGACCAUCCGUGCCGCCGUCAGGAGAUGGUUCCGCCUUCCGGCGGACACUCCCCUGGGCUACUUCCACGCUCCUGUAGCCCAGGGAGGCCUCGGCAUCCCAUCAUGCCGAUGGAUGGGGCCAACACUUCGCCGGUCCCGUCUCCUGGCGCUGAAGAGGAUUGGGCCAGCCGCCGACGGUGCAGGCCGGGACGAGGUGCAGCGUGAGAUUGAGGCGCUGGAGCGGCAUCUUAUGUGGGAGGGCCACCUCCUCAAAUCGUCGACGCAGGUUGGAGAGAUGUGGGCCGCGCGCCUGCACGUUGCCUUUGACGGUGCGGCGCUGUCAUCUUCCGCCGCCGUCAAGGGGCAACACCAGUGGGUCGCUGACACCAGUCGCCUGCUAUCUGGGCGUAACUUCAUCGACGCUCUCCGCGCCCGCAUCAACGCCUUCCCCACGAAGGCACGGCGCAGUCGCGGGCGGGAGGCGGACACCAGAUGCCGCGCGGGCUGCCAGGCCGUAGAGACCGCCAACCACGUGUUACAGGCUUGCUUCAGGACGCACGGGUCCCGGGUUAAGCGGCAUGACGCGAUCGUGCGCUAUGUCGCCCGUGGACUCGCGCAGAGGGGCUUCAACGUCUCUGUGGAGCCCCACCUCCGCACACCUGAGGGAAUCCGCAAGCCUGACGUGGUGGCGGUUAAAGACGGCAUCGCCCGCGUCAUCGACGCCCAGGU